rnacentral:lncRNA from 1 species
GCAAGCCGGAGCUUUUCAAUAUAAAACUCAAAAAAUUCAAGACCAUAUCUUACAAUUAAAUUAUUUAAAUGACAAACACACUUAACAUGAAAUAUUCAGGUAACGCCGGAGAAAGGUCAGCUUUUAACUUGUGAUAAUGCUCAAACUACACACUUGAAUGGGUGUAAGUGAUCGCCAUCAAUAUAAAACCCAACUAGGUUGGGGU